GGGGGGCAAGGCCAAGACGGGGCUGGGGGAGGGGGUGAACUUUUAAAGAUUCAACACUGGUGUACAUACGUCUGACCCGGUGAGCGGACCUGUGGCGUCGCACAGUGAUUCUGGGCCCUUUGUGCUUGCUGUCUCAGAAUUGUUUUCUUACCUUUUCGAUGUAAUGACGAGUGUGCUUCGGUUUCUUUAGCAAAACCACUCUCUUGAAUCACGUUAACCUUUGAGAUUAAAAAAAAAAAAAAAAAACACAAAAACCAACAAAAAACACGCCAUAGCACAGCUGUCUUUAUGCAAGCAAGAGCACAUCUACUCCAGCAUGAUCUGUCAUCUAAAGACUUGAAAACAACAACAAAAAAAAUUACUUAUAGUCAAUGGUUAACAUCACUUUACUGUUCCAGUGCCACGAAGGGAGAGGGUUUUGACUCUGUUGGGUUUUAUCGAACGGGUACAUAACAGUAACUUCUGAAACACCGAUUUUGUGAAGAAAAAGAGGUGUGUUGGUCUCCUUCCCGUGUUCCUACAAACUCCCACUAACAGGUGCAAGAGUUAUGUAAAGAAGGAAGAGGAAGCUGACAUGUGAAAAGAAAAAUAUAUCCCCGUAAGUAGUGAGCCCCAAGGGAAAAUACCAUGAGGAUUAUCCAAGGUGACUUCGAAAUGGUCCCUUUUGGAGAACAGAGGCACACGAAAUGCAUGUGAUUGAAGACACAUCACUGUAUCUUUGACAUCAGAAGCCUCACCACUAUGUAUCUUGUAUCCAGGUGUCUACAAUGGCCUAAACCACUACAUCCAUAAAAUGCCAUUUACCUGAAAACUUAAUUUUGGCCUUCACGUGGUCAGAAAAAACUGAACUGUUUUCAUAGCAAAGAAACCUCAAGUACAGGGAGUCAGCAGUGACUGUGGGAGAAAUGUUUACAUUUUCUUUUGUCAGAAAGAAUGCUUUCUGGCAAUUUUAUCUGCUAUUUAACACAGGGAGCUACGGUGCACUCUCGUUUAUACAUGUGCUAUAAGCUGUGUCGUGUAAACUUAGGGUGCCUCCCCGUCAGUGAACUCGUGAUUUCACCCAACACAUGCUCGUUGCCAGGUUCAGAACCGGUGUGGGCUCCUACAGCAGGCGUGGGGCACGGCUGACUCCGACUUCCAAUACAACAGCCAUCACUAGCACGGUGUUUUUCUUUUUUGUUUGUUUAACCAAUGUAGUUGUAUCAGUAGUUCUAUAAAGAGAACUGCUUUUAACAUUAGGGACUGGGAACAGUCCAUUGAGAUAAAAAGGAAAGUGUUUUCUCACGGGAAAACAUGUCAGGAAAAAUAAAGAACACUUUCUACCUCUGUUUCAGAUUUUUGAAACGCUUAUUUUAAACCAAAUUUUAAUUUCUGUGUCCAAAAUAAGUUUUAAGGACAUCUGUUCUUCCAUACGAAAUAGGUUAGGCUGUCUAUUUCUUACUGAGCUCACGGAACGGUCCUGCUUGUGAUCCUUUGCAUGCUGCCUUUUAGUGAGUGAGGAGUUUGGGGCUGCCUAGCAACCCACCAACUUGGACAAACUCAUCUUCCCCUCACAGAAAGAAAUUUAAGGAAAACCAAGCAAAGUCAGUGAAAGACAAUCUUUGUAGUUUCAAGAGUAAAUCUAUAUGUGGCUUUUGUCCCGCACUUACUUAGAUGGAUAUAAACGCAGCAACUUGUUUAAAAAAAAAAAAAAUGCACAAUUUAACUUCCCCAAAAAAAAAAAAGUUGUUACUUGCCUUUUCAAGUUGUUGAAGAACACACAUUUGAUAUUCUCUUAUAUGUUAUAGUAACGUAACGUAUAAACUCAAGGCUUUUUAUUCUUCGUGAUAAAUCCUGUUUUCAAAUGUCACGAAACAGGAACCAGCAUUCUAAUUAGAUUUACUCUAUCAAGAUAUGGUUCAAAUAGGACUACUAGAGUUCAUUGAACACUAAAACUAUGAAGCAAUUACUUUUUAUAUUAAAAAGACCAUGGAUUUAACUUGUAAAAAUCCAAAUGCAGGAUAGUAAUUUUUGUUUACUUUUUUAACCAAACUGAAUUUUUUUGAAAGACUCUUGCAGGUGUUUAAAAAGAAAGACAAGUCGUUUUAUCUAAUACUGUAAGUAGUUGUCAUAUUCUGGAAAAUUUAAUAGUUUUAGAGUUAAGAUAACUCCUCUCCUUGGUUAGGGAAGAAGAAAGCCCUUCACCGCUUUGGAAUGACGCCCUGGCUUUAAGGUCUGGCUUUACAUCAUGCUUCUUUUGAGAAUUAUAUUUGGUAGUCAUGUUACAGAAAUUGGUUACUCGUCACUUCGCAGGUAGACUUAGCACAGCACUCAUCACUCUGGAUAGACCGAGAUGUUCUUUCACCGCAGAUGAAUGAUCUGUAACACUGUAAGAUACUGAUCUUUACAACUGUUUAAUCAGUUUUAUUUUUGUACAGUAUUAGUGACCUAAGUUAUUUUGUUGUCCCGUUUUGUAAAUCAAAUGAAAUUAUAAAAGAGGAUUCUGACAGUAGGUAUUUUGUACAUAUGUAUAUACGUUGUCCAAAUAAAAGGAAUAAAUGACAAAGAUGAAA